ensembl:snRNA U5 U5 spliceosomal RNA
GUAUUCUGGUUUUAGGACGGAAAAAAUCUUUCGUCUUUUACUAAAGAUUUCAAUGGAAAAGAACAACUGGGAGUCUUUAUUAACAGUUUCUGAGGCUUUGCACUUGGUGAGGCU